rnacentral:rRNA from 1 species
AUUGAACGCUGGCGGCAUGCCUUACACAUGCAAGUCGAACGGUAACGGGCCUUCGGGUGCCGACGAGUGGCGAACGGGUGAGUAAUGCAUCGGAACGUACCUUUCAGUGGGGGAUAACGUAGCGAAAGUUACGCUAAUACCGCAUAUUCUGUGAGCAGGAAAGCAGGGGAUCGCAAGACCUUGCGCUGAUUGAGCGGCCGAUGUCAGAUUAGCUAGUUGGUGAGGUAAAGGCUCACCAAGGCGACGAUCUGUAGCGGGUCUGAGAGGAUGAUCCGCCACACUGGAACUGAGACACGGUCCAGACUCCUACGGGAGGCAGCAGUGGGGAAUUUUGGACAAUGGGGCAACCCUGAUCCAGCCAUGCCGCGUGAGUGAAGAAGGCCUUCGGGUUGUAAAGCUCUUUCGGCCGGGAAGAAAUCGUAUCAGCUAAUACCUGGUGCGGAUGACGGUACCGGCAUAAGAAGCACCGGCUAACUGCGUGCCAGCAGCCGCCGUAAAAC